CACAAGCNAGCUCCNGGAAUCAANGUGUCUNCCUACUCCUCAAGAAAAAUUGAAAGCCAAAUAAUAAAAUGAAAUGCAAUUUUCUUCUCCCAAUNUAAAUCAGCCCACGUGCCCCUUUUNAUGUGUGUGNCGGNUGCACCUUAAAAAUGGAGAUAAAAGAAAAUAUNCCCUAUCCCAUGCUGCUAAUUGAAUGUAAAUUAAAGGCAACAAUGUUCAGGAAUUCAGCACUUAUAAAUGGAAGGAAAUAGAAUUUGAAAAUGCUUCCUAUUCAUCCCAUGAUCUAACACCGUCAAGAUAAGCUCAAAUUAGAACGAAAAUGUUCCAGCACCG
rnacentral:lncRNA from 1 species